rnacentral:rRNA from 1 species
UCCUCCCUCUUUCUUUGUGCUUAACACAUGCAAGUCGAACGGUAAGGCCCUUUCGGGGGUCCACGAGUGGCGAACGGGUGAGUAACACGUGAGUAACCUGCCCUCAUCUCUGGGAUAACAGUCGGAAACGGUUGCUAAUACUGGAUAUGAGCCUGCAAGGCAUCUUGUGGGUUGGAAAGAUUUUUUGGUUGGGGAUGGACUCGCGGCCUAUCAGCUUGUUGGUGAGGUGGUGGCUCACCAAGGCUUCGACGGGUAGCCGGCCUGAGAGGGCGACCGGCCACAUUGGGGCUGAGAUACGGCCCAAACUCCUACGGGAGGCAGCAGUGGGGAAUAUUGCACAAUGGACGGAAGUCUGAUGCAGCAACGCCGCGUGCGGGAUGACGGCCUUCGGGUUGUAAACCGCGUUCAAUUGUGACGAAGCUUUUUGUGACGGUAGCAGUAGAAGAAGCACCGGCUAACUACGUG